CUUGGUCAUUUAGAGGAAGUAAAAGUCGUAACAAGGUUUCCGUAGGUGAACCUGCGGAAGGAUCAUUAUCGUACAAAAUGUGUGAGGCAUGCUAGGGCUGUCGCUGACAAAAGUCGUGCACGCCAGAGUGUCCUCUCACAUUAAAUCCAUCUCACCCUUUUGUGCACCACCGCGUGGGCACCCUUCGGGAUCGAACUGGUCCAGGAGGGGGCUUGCGUUUUCACACAAACCCUCAUUUAAAAGUGUAGAAUGACCCCAUUUUUGCGAUAACACGCAAUCAAUACAACUUUCAACAACGGAUCUCUUGGCUCUCGCAUCGAUGAAGAACGCAGCGAAAUGCGAUACGUAAUGUGAAUUGCAGAAUUCAGUGAAUCAUCGAAUCUUUGAACGCACCUUGCGCCCCUUGGUAUUCCGAGGGGCACACCCGUUUGAGUGUCGUGAAUAUCUCAACCUUCUCGGUUUCUUCCGGAUGCCGAAGGAGGCUUGGACUUUGGAGGCCUCUGCUGGCAUCUUUUGAAGGCCAGCUCCUCUCAAAUGAAUUAGCGGGGUCCUCUUUGCCAACCCUCGACAUGUGAUAAGAUGUUUCCAUGUCUUGGUUUAUGGCUCUGUUGCUUUUGGGACCCGCUUCUAAUCGUCUCAAUGACAACGUUUGAGAGCGUCUCCCUUCUCGGGAAACCCUCUCGAACCCACGAACCCUUGACCUCAAUCGGGUGAGACUACCCGCUGAACUUAAGCAUAUCAAUAAGCGGAGGA
rnacentral:rRNA from 1 species